AUACCUUGCUCGGCCUUUUGGUUAAGAUCAAGGGUAAUAAUUCUUUCUAUCAGUUUAAUAUCCGAUAUGUGGGUCACUGACUCAGAAUGAUAAUUCAUUUCGUAGGAAAGGAUUUCCACCACAAAUCCUCAAGUGUCGCCAUGCUGUGUACUACUCCCU
rnacentral:snRNA from 1 species